AUUGAACGCUGGCGGAAUGCUUUACACAUGCAAGUCGAACGGUAGAGGGGGCAACCCCUCGAGAGUGGCGAACGGGUGAGUAAUAUAUCGGAACGUGCCCAGUCGUGGGGGAUAACGUAGCGAAAGUUACGCUAAUACCGCAUACGAUCUAAGGAUGAAAGCGGGGGAUCGCAAGACCUCGCGCGAUUGGAGCGGCAGAUAUCAGAUUAGGUGGUUGGUGGGGUAAAGGCUCACCAAGCCAACGAUCUGUAGCUGGUCUGAGAGGACGACCAGCCACACUGGAACUGAGACACGGUCCAGACUCCUACGGGAGGCAGCAGUGGGGAAUUUUGGACAAUGGACGCAAGUCUGAUCCAGCCAUUCCGCGUGCAGGAUGAAGGCCCUCGGGUUGUAAACUGCUUUUGUACGGAACGAAAAGGUCUCUCUUAAUACGGGGGACUCAUGACGGUACCGUAAGAAUAAGCACCGGCUAACUACGUGCCAGCCGCCGCAGUAA
rnacentral:rRNA from 1 species